UUUCAAUAAACAUUUAUUGAGCACCUACUGUGUAUCAGGCACUGUGGCUAGGUGCUGGGGAUACAUCACUGACUAGCACACAGCUCCUGGCCUUGAGGAGCUCACAGUCUAUUGGAGGGGGACAUACAUGAACACAAUCAAAGAACUACAUACAUGUGCUACAAUGAGAGGUAUAUACAAAGUGCUGUGGGAGCCAGGAGGGAAUCACAUAUUAGCCACUGGGAGGUGAGGACCACCACUUGACUCCUGACUCCAUUAUGCCAUCACAAAAGCAGGGGGAUUGCUGCUGCCUGACUCUGGUUAAAGUAACUCCGUCUCCUGAGGUUCUCCUGUAAGCCUCGUCCAUAACGCUUGUCAGCAAGGGUUAGUUAACCAGUUAGCUCGUUUAACACUGUGUAGGGAAGAAAUUGAAUAGGAAGGUGUCUUUAGGAUCAGAGGAUAUUGAAAGUAAUACAAAUCUUGGAUGUUAAGACGGGGUGAGGUGGUACCAUGGGGGCACUGAGCCAUGAAUGGCAGGCCCUGGGCAGUGAAGCACCUGGAGUAACUGCCUGAGGAGAGAGGAGGACAGAGGUCAGCUACCUCAGAGUUUGAUACCCAGCUCUCAUCAGAUCAAUCAGUAACCUGUCAUUGAUGCUCACCUGCUUCAUAGGUAUGCCCAGUUUUGUGGGUGGCGCGGUGGUGCCCACCCCCCAGGAAGUAACACACAUGGGACAUUAAAGGUACAGAUCUGAACUUAAGGUCUAAGUAGCAGUUUGUGAUUACAAUAGAGCUAUCACAGGCUGUUUCUAAUCACCUGUCCAUCAAGUGGCAGUUACAAGUUUAAGAAUUAAAAGUUAGGAACUGACUGUUCCCACCGAAUCCCAUCUUGAGACACAAUUUUUCGUUGUUAGGAAGAAGAUAGAACAUAUUGGUUAAACGGAACCCUUUUGGAGGACGUGGCAUGGCAUGGGGAAUAUCAGAGAACCUAAUAGUGAAGUGCCACCAACUUGGAGCUCUUUUCCCUGGUGGGAUUGAUAUCAAACUUCAAAUCUUUCGAGAAUUACUACCCAUAGCUCUCCAAGUGCUCCCCAAUUCCUUGGACCCUGUCACGAUUCAGGAACUAAAGGGUUAAUGCUAGCCCUAGGCCCCCUACAAGAGCCUGGGGGUGGUGGUGAGCAUUUUAAGUAUUGGCCCAAUCCUCAAGCCAGGACUCACUGAAGGCUUUUUAUUGAGGAAGGCCGAGUAGCCUGCCAGAUGUGAAGGGCUAAGGAGUCACAUUGAACAGGGCGCUGACAUAUACUGGGAAGGCGGAAGCUAGGAGUAAGAGCUAGGCUGGAGGCUCAGGGGAUGAAGACAGGCCAGCUAUCAGGAGAUGAGGGUAAGGGGCAGGAUCAAGUACAUAUAGCACACCAGACAGCUCUGAGAUUUCCAGUAUAGAAGAAGGUCAGGAAAAUGGUGGCAUCAUUAACAGAAGCAGAUCACCAGAGCCAUGCGCCAGGGAUUUAAGAGAAGCAAGUUCUGGAUUGACCUUACCUUAAAGAACUGGCCGGUGACAAGAGUGGGACACCUGGAGAACACCCACACACAAAGAGAUGAGGAGGAACCCACACAGAAACUAAAAGCACAGUGGUGUAGAAGGGCUCAGCACGUGUGGGAUGACAAGGCCAGACAACCAUGGAGAAGAUGAUUUGACUAUGAGAGUGUUGACAGCCUUAGGAGAAUGGAUUUCCUUGGAGUUAGGAUGUGUAUGCAGAAUUCAGGUCCCAGGUUGAUGCAGGGCCACCCCAACUCAUGCUGUCCCUUUGUGCUCACUAAAACUGGUUGAGCUUGGAAGAGUAAGGGUACUCGUCAAGCCUGCAUGAAGUCAUGGGUUUGGUCGAUAGAAACACACCGUGAUAACAUAAGUGACAACAAGGGGGUGGGGUGGGCAAGACAACUGGAAGUUCAAGGUCAUCUUCACCAACAGAGCAAGUUCAAAACCCAAAAACUAAAACCCAAAUACAACAAGAACAUCAACACUAACAGCAACAAUGGUGACCUUUUCUGGAGAUGUUUCCUUCCAUCCAUCAAGAGAUUGUCAUCCUAAGCCGAUUUUAUUAUAACAGACAUUUCAGUGUCAAUUGCUGGGAAUGUGGCAAAUGCACCUGCAUAGCCACAGAUGGUCCCUUCCCCCC
rnacentral:lncRNA from 1 species